CACGUAAGCUCCUGGCAAGCUAGAAGACAGUUCAUUGGGUGUUUGUCAGUUCUUGAAGAAAAUUAAAAAUUGUUUCUAUGUAUUAUAUAAUAUUUUAUAUUAUAGUUAAUAAAUAAUUUUCCAAAAGAACUUAAUGGUUUACUAUUGUCACUGAUGUCUAAUCAUCGUGUCUAAUUAGAUAACGAAGUUCGUCAAAAAUAUUAGUGCAAACAACAAACAGCAGGCAUGUUUACAUUUAUAUUUAUUUACUAAAAUUUAUUUACCCACGCUGACCCCUUCAGCAUGGGCUGAUUUCCAAGGGGGAGAGGAUGGGCCGAUUUCCAAGGGGGGGGGGCGUCAUGUCACAUAAAAAUAACUAUAUACAUAUUAUUUUAUACAAGCAUAUACACUACUUAAAUAGACAAUUAGGUUAAUUAGACAAGUAGGUCAGGUUAACAUCCGAAAUCAAAGCGUUAAAAAAUGUUUAAUGAUGAAGAAUUUCUUAGCUUGCGCGGUAAGCUAUUCCAGAGUUUUGGUCCAUUAUAACUUAUGCAUUUAUAUUGUCAUUAAAAAUCAAUUUGUGUGUUGCACAAUCAAAUGCGACACAAAAUUAAAAACCAUAUCAUACAUAAAGCAAUUAGGUAUAAAAGUUAUACAAUAUUUACAAGUUAUUCAGGGAGCUUCCAUCGCCAAUAAUCGACCUGUACAAUUUAUGUAUAACAAAGUUGAACUACAGUCAAACCCCUAUUAAUUUACGGACGCUUCUCUUAAACCGACAACCCUUUUUAGGCCGACAUAACUAAUAAGCUUUGCAUGGUCCCAUUUAGCCUCCUCCGCAGGCAUCGCCUUUCGAUUAUCGGACAAAAUUUCUUGCAGGCAAAAAAAUCUCACCGACUUUCUGAAGUACGUGAACUACGAGAUGCCUGCGGAGGCUAGGUCCCAUUGUUACGAUGGCCCACAAGGGACAUGCAAACUUAAAUAAAGUCGGUGCAAACUUAAAUAAAGUCGGUGCAAACUUAAAUAAAGUCGGUGCAAACUUAAAUAAAGUCGGUGCAAACUUAAAUAAAGUUGGUGCAAACGUAAAUAAAGUCGGUGCAAACGUAAAUAAAAACUCGGUGCAAACUUAAAUAAAAACUCGGUGCAAAUUUAAAUAAAAACUCGGUGCAAACUUAAAUAAAAACUCGGUGCAAACUUAAAUAAAAACUCG